AUUGAACGCUGGCGGAACGCUUUACACAUGCAAGUCGAACGGCAGCACGGACUUCGGUCUGGUGGCGAGUGGCGAACGGGUGAGUAAUGUAUCGGAACGUGCCCAGUCGUGGGGGAUAACGUAGUGAAAAUUACGCUAAUACCGCAUACGAUCUAUGGAUGAAAGCGGGGGACCGUAAGGCCUCGCGCGAUUGGAGCGGCCGAUAUCAGAUUAGGUAGUUGGUGGGGUAAAGGCUCACCAAGCCGACGAUCUGUAGCUGGUCUGAGAGGACGACCAGCCACACUGGAACUGAGACACGGUCCAGACUCCUACGGGAGGCAGCAGUGGGGAAUUUUGGACAAUGGGCGCAAGCCUGAUCCAGCCAUUCCGCGUGCAGGAUGAAGGCCCUCGGGUUGUAAACUGCUUUUGUACGGAACGAAAAGGCUCUGGUUAAUACCUGGGGCUCAUGACGGUACCGUAAGAAUAAGCACCGGCUAACUACGUGCCAGCCGCCGCGGUAA
rnacentral:rRNA from 1 species